UUAAUCGGGGCAGGGUGAGUCGACCCCUAAGGCGAGGCCGAAAGGCGUAGUCGAUGGGAAACAGGUUAAUAUUCCUGUACUUGGUGUUACUGCGAAGGGGGGACGGAGAAGGCUAUGUUGGCCGGGCGACGGUUGUCCCGGUUUAAGCGUGUAGGCUGGUUUUCCAGGCAAAUCCGGAAAAUCAAGGCUGAGGCGUGAUGACGAGGCACUACGGUGCUGAAGCGACAAAUGCCCUGCUUCCAGGAAAAGCCUCUAAGCAUCAGGUAACAUCAAAUCGUACCCCAAACCGACACAGGUGGUCAGGUAGAGAAUACCAAGGCGCUUGAGAGAACUCGGGUGAAGGAACUAGGCAAAAUGGUGCCGUAACUUCGGGAGAAGGCACGCUGAUAUGUAGGUGAAGCGACUUGCUCGUGGAGCUGAAAUCAGUCGAAGAUACCAGCUGGCUGCAACUGUUUAUUAAAAACACAGCACUGUGCAAACACGAAAGUGGACGUAUACGGUGUGACGCCUGCCCGGUGCCGGAAGGUUAAUUGAUGGGGUUAGCGGUAACGCGAAGCUCUUGAUCGAAGCCCCGGUAAACGGCGGCCGUAACUAUAACGGUCCUAAGGUAGCGAAAUUCCUUGUCGGGUAAGUUCCGACCUGCACGAAUGGCGUAAUGAUGGCCAGGCUGUCUCCACCCGAGACUCAGUGAAAUUGAACUCGCUGUGAAGAUGCAGUGUACCCGCGGCAAGACGGAAAGACCCCGUGAACCUUUACUAUAGCUUGACACUGAACAUUGAGCCUUGAUGUGUAGGAUAGGUGGGAGGCUUUGAAGUGUGGACGCCAGUCUGCAUGGAGCCGACCUUGAAAUACCACCCUUUAAUGUUUGAUGUUCUAACGUGGGCCCCUUACCGGGGUUGCGGACAGUGUCUGGUGGGUAGUUUGACUGGGGCGGUCUCCUCCUAAAGAGUAACGGAGGAGCACGAAGGUUGGCUAAUCCUGGUCGGACAUCAGGAGGUUAGUGCAAUGGCAUAAGCCAGCUUGACUGCGAGCGUGACGGCGCGAGCAGGUGCGAAAGCAGGUCAUAGUGAUCCGGUGGUUCUGAAUGGAAGGGCCAUCGCUCAACGGAUAAAAGGUACUCCGGGGAUAACAGGCUGAUACCGCCCAAGAGUUCAUAUCGACGGCGGUGUUUGGCACCUCGAUGUCGGCUCAUCACAUCCUGGGGCUGAAGUAGGUCCCAAGGGUAUGGCUGUUCGCCAUUUAAAGUGGUACGCGAGCUGGGUUUAGAACGUCGUGAGACAGUUCGGUCCCUAUCUGCCGUGGGCGCUGGAGAACUGAGGGGGGCUGCUCCUAGUACGAGAGGACCGGAGUGGACGCAUCACUGGUGUUCGGGUUGUCAUGCCAAUGGCACUGCCCGGUAGCUAAAUGCGGAAGAGAUAAGUGCUGAAAGCAUCUAAGCACGAAACUUGCCCCGAGAUGAGUUCUCCCUGACUCCUUGAGAGUCCUGAAGGAACGUUGAAGACGACGACGUUGAUAGGCCGGGUGUGUAAGCGCAGCGAUGCGUUGAGCUAACCGGUACUAAUGAACCGUGAGGCUUAACCUU
rnacentral:rRNA from 1 species